CAAAAUACAGAGAACUUUGGUACUUUUCUCUUUAAAUAAGGAAAGAUCCUGAGGCUGAUUUAAAAACUGAGCUGAUAGAGGAAGAUUUUUAGAGGCAAGACGCAAUAAUAAAGGAUCUGUGGGUCUGUGAGAAGUGUCAACCUUACACACAUCUUCACAUAUCCUGAUAGGUCAUUGGGCCUUUUCUCUUUCUUAUUUUUUGUUACUGGCACAUUUAUGUAAAUAUUGGGAACACUUAUAUAAUAACAGGAUAUUAGCUUAAUUUGAGGUCAUCUGUUCUUGUGACUUAUUCUCCAUUUACAGUUAUAAGCUUCUCACUGUGACAUCACCUUGGUGGCCUCAGAAGUACCUGUGAUGUCACCAAAAGGGAUUAUAACCUGAAGCUGUGAGAGCAAAUCAGCUUCUGCAGAAUAAAGGUUUUUUGUUUUGCCCUGCUAGCAGAGGGACAAACAUCCACCCACCCUUUCUCCCCUGCCUGUCAUGGUGGAACAGGACCAUUUCACCACUCAGGCUGGGAAUGCGAGAGUCGGCUGCCUGGUCAGAUCAGCAGCAAGCAGAAACUUCAGCUGGCAAUGUGCUCAUAUGAGGACCUCUUCCAAUGUCAUCUACUUGGCAUCAUUCACUUGGCACUCAAAUGCAUUUAAUUUGUUGGUUCGUGGAGUUGUCUGGGAGGAAAAUAUGCUGCCGCAGUGCUGCUCCCCACUCCUGCUUUGGCUCACUGGCGUGUCUUGUCUGAGUGUGAAACUCCACCGGGCCCCAUGCAGGGUACUGACCCUAUCUCAGGAGAAUUUUGAGACUGCAGUUACCAAAAGGGUGACAUAUGGGGGCAGAGAUGGCAUCUCACAGACUAGCAAGUGAACUCUGAACAUGCUGAUGCAGCACCUCUGAGCCAAUGCAGUCAGCUAAGCAGCUGAUCUGUGACAGCAGUCCUCACAGGUCAGCUGUGCACAGAGACAGGUUCUUAUCAUACAUUCAGAGUCCACAGGGAAGAGACUUUACCACUAAGAUUUUUAUACAAAACUGCAGAAAAUAUAUACACAGGUCUUUGGACCUCAUGCAUAAUUUCCCUGGUGCUCCUUAAGCUGUCUUCCCUAUGACACAUGCAUAGGACAACUAUUGCAUUACAACAAGGAUGUGCAAAAUCUUCAGUCUUCCCUCAAUCAGAUUUCCUUCAUUUUUUUCUCUUUCUUUUAUUUUUUUUAAUUCAAA